UAUUGUCCUACAAAUGUUCUUAUACAAAUGUCACUGCUAUUGAAAAUCUCAAAUAGAAUUAUUCUCAAGAGUCUUCAACCAGAGUGAAAGUUCUUUUAAUUAAGUACCUUCGUUUUCAGGGAUGAGUUUUCACACACACACAAAUAGUCGGAAAGCAAAAAUGAGAAUUUGCACAAACUUUCAAUUUAAGCACAAGCUUCCUGUAUGAGGACUAAAAUUUAGCCAGGAAAUUAACUUUUAGCCUUAAAUUCAUGUUAUUUUGAGAAAAACCAAAUGCACAUCUCUGAAUAACAGAGUUGUACAGCACAUCGCA
rnacentral:lncRNA from 1 species